rnacentral:sRNA from 1 species
GCCCUGGCACAGUGGCCUGCUCCAACCGCUACCUUGCUCUUUCGAGAUGGGGCUGCCACGCCGCCGGUUCAGCUCCGAGGCCGCAGAAUCUGGUAGCCCAGAGACCAAGAAACCUACAUUUAUGGAUGAGGAAGUUCAAAGCAUACUCACGAAAAUGACAGGCUUGAACUUGCAGAAGACUUUUAAGCCAGCUAUACAAGAACUGAAGCCACCAACCUAUAAGCUAAUGACUCAGGCACAGUUGGAAGAGGCUACAAGACAGGCAGUUGAGGCAGCUAAAGUACGAUUAAAAAUGCCACCAGUUCUGGAAGAGCGAGUACCAAUAAAUGAUGUGUUAGCUGAAGAUAAGAUUUUGGAAGGAACAGAAACAACCAAAUAUGUGUUUACUGAUAUAUCAUAUAGCAUACCACACCGGGUGAGUAUAUGUCUAAUUGCAAAAUGAUCUUUCUUUGAAAUACCAUGUGGAGAAGGGCUUGAGAGAUGAUGUGACCUGGCUGUCUCUGAUGCAUCCAAACCAGAUUUCCUCUGACUGGGUGAGACCCUUCUGGAAGAUAUACUAUAUGAGGGAUGAGAAAUGCAGACCAGCCCCACAUCAUGA